rnacentral:rRNA from 1 species
GUAGGUGGCAAGCGUUGUCCGGAAUUAUUGGGCGUAAAGCGCGCGCAGGCGGUUCUUUAAGUCUGAUGUGAAAGCCCACGGCUCAACCGUGGAGGGUCAUUGGAAACUGGAGAACUUGAGUACAGAAGAGGAAAGCGGAAUUCCACGUGUAGCGGUGAAAUGCGUAGAGAUGUGGAGGAAAACCAGUGGCGAAGGCGGCUUUCUGGUCUGUAACUGACGCUGAGGCGCGAAAGCGUGGGGAGCAAACAGGGAUUAGAUACCCUGGUAGUCCACGCCGUAAACGAUGAGUGCUAAGUGUUAGGGGGUUUCCCGCCCCUUAGUGCUGCAGCUAACGCAUUAAGCACUCCGCCUGGGGAUACGGCCGCAAGGCUG